CUCACUUUAGCUCAGCUGGAAGAGCAUGAGACUGUAAUACGGAUACCGAAGCAAAUCUCAGGGUCGCCUGUUCGAGCCAGGCAAGUGAGA
rnacentral:tRNA from 1 species